rnacentral:tRNA from 1 species
UAGGGUAUUUAGCUGUUAACUAAAAUUUCGUGGGAUGGUAGCCCACCAAUCUAG